rnacentral:rRNA from 1 species
AUUGAACGCUGGCGGCAUGCCUUACACAUGCAAGUCGAACGGCAGCACGGGAGCAAUCCUGGUGGCGAGUGGCGAACGGGUGAGUAAUAUAUCGGAACGUGCCCAGUCGUGGGGGAUAACGUAGCGAAAGCUACGCUAAUACCGCAUACUAUCUAUGGAUGAAAGCGGGGGAUCGCAAGACCUCGCGCGAUUGGAGCGGCCGAUAUCAGAUUAGGUAGUUGGUGAGGUAAAGGCUCACCAAGCCGACGAUCUGUAGCUGGUCUGAGAGGACGACCAGCCACACUGGGACUGAGACACGGCCCAGGCUCCUACGGGAGGCAGCAGUGGGGAAUUUUGGACAAUGGGCGCAAGCCUGAUCCAGCAAUGCCGCGUGCAGGAUGAAGGCC